AGCGAACGCUGGCGGCAGGCCUAACACAUGCAAGUCGAACGAACUCUUCGGAGUUAGUGGCGGACGGGUGAGUAACACGUGGGAACGUGCCUUUUGGUUCGGAAUAACUCAGGGAAACUUGUGCUAAUACCGAAUGUGCCCUUCGGGGGAAAGAUUUAUCGCCAUUAGAGCGGCCCGCGUCUGAUUAGCUAGUUGGUGAGGUAACGGCUCACCAAGGCGACGAUCAGUAGCUGGUCUGAGAGGAUGACCAGCCACACUGGGACUGAGACACGGCCCAGACUCCAACGGGAGGCAGCAGUGGGGAAUCUUGCGCAAUGGGCGAAAGCCUGACGCAGCCAUGCCGCGUGAAUGAUAAAGGUCUUAGGAUUGUAAAAUUCUUUCACCGGGGACGAUAAUGACGGUACCCGGAGAAGAAGCCCCGGCUAACUUCGUG
rnacentral:rRNA from 1 species